CUGAGGGACACAGGCCAUCUUGUCCCCUGUGACUCUGGCUUGCCUGGCCUCUCUGCUGUGAAUGUGGCCAGGAGUGAUGCAUAAAUCUCCUUGCCCUGGGUGUAAGGAGGUCAUUCAUACAUGCACCCCACUUCAGCGAACUUCAGGGUGAGGUGGAGAUGACCACAUGGAACGGCAGUCUGAGAUAGUUAGCCAGAAAACGCUGUACUGUAAGCGGACAGGGCACACGUGCUGCCUCGCACCUCCUGGCAGAGGGCCCCCCGCAGCCUCUGCCCCCACAGACGCCUGCCAGUCUCACAGGUUAAAGACUCGGCCUGGAGUGCAACGGAAUGAACUUCGGUCAGGAGUGCAGGAUGGGACCAAAGGACACAGAGCUGCGUCCGCUGCGAGGCACCUCUCCGCCCUUUCCAGAGCCUCCAAGAGGCCGGCCUGAACCUGGGCGUGGAAUCCACGGAUGCCCCAGUUGCAUGGAGCACCGCCGGGGGAGUCCCGCUGAGAAGAACCACUUCUGAGAACGCCUGUGCUCCGCAGCAGCGCCCAGCCUUCCCUCGGGGAGCCCGCUGCCCCUGCCUGCCGGACGCUGGUGGCUGCUGAGGGUCACCCAGUAAAAACUGCAUGCACAGACCCAUUCAGUACCCACUUCCCUCCCCCUCUGUACCCCUCUUCAUUCCUUACUCCCUCCCUGCCUCCCUUCCUUCCUUCCUUUUACCCCGGGAAAGGAAAACUGAUUAUUUUUUCUGUUUAGACUCAUUGCAUCUGAAAACAUUUCAACUAAACAAAUUGUUUUUUCAGGACACAAACCACUGGAUCAAAGUUUGAUGACCCAUCUCCUGUUUUCUGGGCAAUGGAAUGGUGACUGUCUUUGUAGGUUUCUCCGAGAUGUCUCCUUGAGUCCUUUCAUAAGAACCAUCAGCAUGAGAUUUCCUUGCAGUCCAAAGCUGGUAUAACACAGGCAAGGUGAAGCAGAUCUGUAAUACCAGCACUGUAAGAGGCUGAGGCAAGAGGAUUCCAAGUUUGAGUCCCAUUUUGGUAACUAAUCGAGACUGUCUCAAAAUAAAAAAUAUAAAAGGGUUGGGAAUGUAGCUUAGUGUGAAGGCCCUGGGUUUACUCCCCGACACUGACAAUACAGCAGAUAUAUCAAGUGACUUUUCCUGAUGUUGCCCUUGCCCCAUCACAGUGACCUUGCUCCUUCAGCAGCUGACCCUGGCCCUCUUGUUUUGCCAUUUCACACCCAUACUGUAUCUGUGGGAGACACAGUGCAGGGGCCAUACGCACACAAGAGUCUGUGCUUGUUACGAGGAAAGAGCCCCCAAGUUACUCUUUGCUAUGUUUGUUUGUUUUUGUUUUUGUUUUUCUCCGGUACCGGGAACCGAAC
rnacentral:lncRNA from 1 species